UACGUAGGGGGCAAGCGUUGUCCGGAUUUAUUGGGCGUAAAGAGCGUGUAGGCGGCUAGGUAGGUCCGUUGUGAAAACUCGAGGCUUAACCUCGAGACGUCGAUGGAAACCGUAUGGCUAGAGUCCGGAAGAGGAGAGUGGAAUUCCUGGUGUAGCGGUGAAAUGCGCAGAUAUCAGGAAGAACACCCGUGGCGAAGGCGGCUCUCUGGGACGGUACUGACGCUGAGACGCGAAAGCGUGGGGAGCGAACAGG
rnacentral:rRNA from 1 species